GUCAGUGUGGUGUAGUGGUUUGAGCAUUGGAUUACAACUCUAGAGAUCAGGCUUCAAUUCCCUGCUCAGCCA
rnacentral:tRNA from 1 species